GAAUCUCCUUUUAAGAUUACAUUCUGUUCUCAGCCCCACGCAAACUUCUACAGACCUUCACAGGUAAUCCAUAAUGGAGUAAUCCCAGGAGGUAAUCAAGAACUGACUAUAAGUUGAAAAUACAUUGGUUACGUGGCAACGCACUUGAAGAAAAAUCUUUAAGGUGGAAAAAACAAGUACCCAAUUAAAUGGGAGGGUAAGCAAGCACCUGGUCCUAAAAUGCACUCAAUUAAA
rnacentral:lncRNA from 1 species